CUUGCUCCCUGAUGUUAGCGGCGGACGGGUGAGUAACACGUGGGUAACCUGCCUGUAAGACUGGGAUAACUCCGGGAAACCGGGGCUAAUACCGGAUACUUGUUUGAACCGCAUGGUUCAAACAUAAAAGGUGGCUUCGGCUACCACUUACAGAUGGACCCGCGGCGCAUUAGCUAGUUGGUGAGGUAAUGGCUCACCAAGGCAACGAUGCGUAGCCGACCUGAGAGGGUGAUCGGCCACACUGGGACUGAGACACGGCCCAGACUCCUACGGGAGGCAGCAGUAGGGAAUCUUCCGCAAUGGACGAAAGUCUGACGGAGCAACGCCGCGUGAGUGAUGAAGGUUUUCGGAUCGUAAAGCUCUGUUGUUAGGGAAGAACAAGUGCCGUUCAAAUAGGGCGGCACCUUGACGGUACCUAACCAGAAAGCCACGGCUAACUACGUGCCAGCAGCCGCGGUAAUACGUAGGUGGCAAGCGUUGUCCGGAAUUAUUGGGCGUAAAGGGCUCGCAGGCGGUUUCUUAAGUCUGAUGUGAAAGCCCCCGGCUCAACCGGGGAGGGUCAUUGGAAAC
rnacentral:rRNA from 2 species